GACCUGAUGGUCUAGGGGUAUGAUUCUCGCUUUGGGUGCGAGAGGUCCCGGGUUCAAAUCCCGGUCAGGCCCUCG